rnacentral:rRNA from 1 species
UACAGAGGGUGCGAGCGUUGUUCGGAUUUACUGGGCGUAAAGGGCGCGCAGGCGGCGCAUUUUGUCAGGCGUGAAAGCCCCGGGCUUAACCUGGGAACUGCGUUUGAUACGGAUGGGCUAGAGUUCGGGAGAGGAGAGUGGAAUUCCCAGUGUAGAGGUGAAAUUCGUAGAUAUCGGAAGGAACACCGGUGGCGAAAGCGGCGCGCUGGACCUCUUCUGACGCUGAGGCGCGAAAGCCAGGGGAGCAAACGGG